GAUGUUCUCGGAUCGUAAACUUCUGUUAUUAGGAAGAACAUAUGUGUAAGUAACUGUGCACAUCUGACCGGUACCUAAUCAGAAAGCCACGCUAACUACGUGCCAGCAGCCGCGGUAAUACGUAGGUGGCAAGCGUUAUCCGGAAUUAUUGGGCGUAAAGCGCGCGUAGGCGGUUUUUUAAGUCUGAUGUGAAAGCCCACGGCUCAACCGUGGAGGGUCAUUGGAAACUGGAAAACUUGAGUGCAGAAGAGGAAAGUGGAAUUAUGUGUAGCGGUGAAAUGCGCAGAGAUAUGGAGGAACACCAGUGGCGAAGGCGACUUUCUGGUCUGUAACUGACGCUGAUGUGCGAAAGCGUGGGGAUCAAACAGGAUUAGAUACCCUGGUAGUCCACGCCGUAAACGAUGAGUGCUAAGUGUUAGGGUUUCCGCCCCUUAGUGCUGCAGCUAACGCAUUAAGCACUCCGCCUGGGGAGUACGACCGCAAGGUUGAAACUCAAAGGAAUUGACGGGGCCCGCACAAGCGGUGGAGCAUGUGGUUUAAUUCGAAGCAACGCAAGAACCUUACCAAAUCUUGACAUCCUUUGACAACUCUAGAGAUAGAGCUUUCCCCUUCGGGGGACAAAGUGACAGGUGGUGCAUGGUUGUCGUCAGCUCGUGUCGUGAGAUGUUGGGUUAAGUCCCGCAACGAGCGCAACCCUUAAGUUAGUUGCCAUCAUUAAGUUGGGCACUCUAAGUUGACUGCCGGUGACAAACCGGAGGAAGGUGGGGAUGACGUCAAAUCAUCAUGCCCCUUAUGAUUUGGGCUACACACGGCUACAAUGGACAAUACAAAGGGCAGCGAAACCGCGAGGUCAAGCAAAUCCCAUAAAGUUGUUCUCAGUUCGGAUUGUAGUCUGCAACUCGACUACAUGAAGCUGGAAUCGCUAGUAAU
rnacentral:rRNA from 1 species